UUACAUUGACUGAUAUUUAGUGACACAGAAACAAAAUAAGCUUUUUUUAAUGCUCCUCUGCCUCUUUAAUGUAAAUUAGCUAAGCAGGAGGACUCUGUGGAAACUUUACGUUAACAGCAAACUAUAUUGAAUGACGAAAAGAAAAGUGAGGCAACACUAAAGACGGAGGUUGUAUUAUAAUAGUAUUUUGAAGUGAAUAUUUUGUUUUCAUUUAAAGCUUUUUGCUGUUAGAACCGCGGAACGUCGGAGGUGACUUGGAGUUAUUUUCUGGCGGUUACCGUCAUCUGAGGAAACUGGUCACUGCAACUCCAACAGAUGCAGAGAGAAGCCUCUCUUUGCCCAGUACCCCAAGACUGAUUGCACUUGGUUCAUUCUGAGAAUAAACCAAAAUCAAAAUCACAGAUCAGCCGGGCAUCUGGAAAAAGGAUGCAGAGAAAAAUCGCCAGCCUGAAUCCCCUUGUGGCAUCUUUCAUCAGAGAGCUUGUUGAAUUCGAUUGGCAAAAUUAUUGAAAGAAAACACGACUAAAACAUGUUUUUACUGUUA